GCACAGUGUGCCCUGUAUCACUCGCUCGUUCUCUCCUCACAUCCGCAGACAUUGACGUGGCAGUAGGUAUACUGGCAACAUGGCCCCGAAAAAAGUGGAACCCAAGAAAGUAGAGCCUAAGAAACCAGAGCCCAAAGCAGAGGCCAAGGCAGAGCCAGCAAAGGCCCCUGUACCUGAGCCUCCCAAGGAGCCUGAGGUGGACCUCAAGAGUAUCAUUCUAGAUUUCACGCUGGACCAGAUCGAGGAGUUCAAGGAGGCGUUCACCUUGUUCGAUGAAACACCGACGGGCGAGAUGAAGAUCAGGUACGCCCAGUGCGGAGACCUAAUGCGGGCCUUGGGUCAUAACCCCACCAACACUGAUGUGCUGAAGCUGCUGGGCAAGCCCAAGGCUGAGGAGAUGAAUUCCAAGCUGGUGGACUUUGAGACUUUCCUGCCAAUGCUGCAGCAUAUCUCCCGAACCAAGGAGACAGGGACCUUUGAGGACUUUGUGGAGGGUCUGAGAGUCUUCGACAAAGAGGGGAAUGGCACGGUGAUGGGGGCCGAGCUCAGGCACGUUUUGGCUACCCUUGGGGAGAAGCUGAUGGAGAGCGAAGUGGACCAACUAAUGAUCGGACAAGAGGACUCAAGUGGCCAUAUCAAUUACACCGAAUUUGUCAAACACAUCCUCUCUACGUGAGCUGCUCUUUCUUGAGUCACAUUACAAAUUCUACUUUAACAUUGCCUGGCUCAAAGGACUGAAUGGAACAUAUAUUGCCCUUUCUGUCUGUAUGCUGAACAAUGUUGAUUCCUAAAUAAAUGCCCAUCAUUCUA